rnacentral:rRNA from 1 species
AUUGAACGCUGGCGGCGUGCUUAACACAUGCAAGUCGAUCGGUAACAGGUGUAGCAAUACAUGCUGACGAGAGGCGGACGGGUGAGGAACGCUUGGGAAUCUGCCUAUCAGCGGGGGACAACCCGGGGAAACCCGGGCUAAUACCGCAUACGCUCUACGGAGGAAAGCCGGGGACCGCAAGGCCUGGCACUGAUAGAUGAGCUCAAGUCGGAUUAGCUAGUUGGCGGGGUAACGGCUCACCAAGGCGACGAUCCGUAGCUGGUCUGAGAGGACGAUCAGCCACACCGGAGCUGAGACACGGUCCGGACUCCUACGGGAGGCAGCAGUGGGGAACAUUGGACAAUGGGCGAAAGCCUGGUCCAGCGACGCCGCGUGGGUGAAGAAGGCCUGCGGGUUGUAAAGCCCUUUCGGUAGGGACGAAAGCUCUCGACCUAACACGUCGGGAGGUUGACUUAACCUACAAAAGAAGCACCGGCUAACUCUGUGCCAGCAGCCGCAGUAAAAC